AGGCAUUACUACUGUUAUCAAUAAUUGAGUAUAUUUUCAUCGAGUGCGAGAUAUACGCUGAUAAAGCGCAACACGCACAUCACACUGCAGACACUUUCAACAGAAUCGUGACAGAUGCUGUAUCGUUGAGUGACAUACUAAUAGCACACAUGGUAAUGUUGUAAUUCUAUCUGCAAUGAAUCGACAUGCUUGAACGCUAUUUUUAGACGCUCAAACAAGAGAAUACUGCAAAAUACUUUAAAAUUUUUAUGAAGUUUAUCCAAAAUUUCUUUCAAUCAAGGAAUUAAUAAUAAAUGAUCUAGUGUCGUAAAUGUGCUAUUUUUAUCUGCUUGAGAUUUUACAAUGUGUGGAAACAUAAUAUACAAUCAGUCUAAGAAGAACGUGAUCGGAAAAAGUUUUGUCUAGAAAUUAUUAAACGGAAAAUUUAAAUUCGCGUCUGUAAACGCAAAAGUUGUAGAAGAUUUCUUUCGCUACGAUGCAUAAUAGACCUUUUAAAAUUACCUUAUAAAAUUUUUAUCAGAGUAAAACGUAUUUAAUAAUGAAUGCUGUAUACACAAAACGUGUUCGAAAAAUACUUAUGCACACCUGCGAAACCAAAAUUAUCACCAGAAAUGACUGCUAAAUAUGAAAAAGUCAGAGUCGUUGUAAGUGGAUAUACGUAUAUUUUAUCUCAUUUUAUUAUAACAAAUAUUUAUUAUAAAGUUUUGGCAUUAAACCGAUCACGUUCUUAUUAAAUAAAUUGUACAUAAAACUGUACUGCAAUAACAUAUAGUUAUUGCUUUUAUAAAAUCAAAUUAAAGUAUUUUAUUUUUUGUAUAUCAACAUAUAUUAUAUAUAUAUCACGGUAAUAUCUAAAUCAUAUGAUAGUUAUGUAUCGAUUCUUUUAUGAUGCAAAAAGGAAGUUUAAGUUAUAAGGAAGUUUCAUUCUAAAUGAUAUCAUCCGUAUUUCAAGUCACACGUGUAUUUGUGACAAAUUAUUAUAUAAUAUAAUGUAGAUACAUUAAUGAAUAUAUUCUUAUAAUGAGUCUCAUUAACGAUGCGACAAGUUGAUGAGUAAUUACACUAUCCAUUGCCAUUGUGACCCCCUAAUGUAUUUUACGUUUCUCAUCGAUAUCGAAAAUAUAUGAACUGAAUUAGAAAUAUAAAGUUACUAAAAAUUA